rnacentral:rRNA from 1 species
UACAGAGGGGGCGAGCGUUGUUCGGAAUUACUGGGCGUAAAGGGUUCGUAGGUGGCCAACUAAGUCAGACGUGAAAUCCCUCGGCUUAACCGAGGAACUGCCUGUCAGACUGUGUGGCUUGAGACCGGGAGAGGUGAGUGGAAUUCCCAGUGUAGCGGUGAAAUGCGUAGAUAUUGGGAGGAACACCAGUGGCGAAGGCGGCUCACUGGACCGGAACUGACGCUGAGGCGCGAAAGCGUGGGGAGCAAACAGG